UUUCAACAAAACUGACCUUUAGCCUAAUUUGAAUAUUCCGGACAUUUUUCGUGUUUUGACUUUUUCGAUCCGGAGUACGGUUUUCCCCGGAGUCGGUCCGGCGGAGUUUUUCGGGUAUUGUAAUUGUUGAUAAUUAUCCAGUUUGUCUCGAUAAACGUGAAACGAGAUAUUUUCUUCAUCCUUAUCUUGUCAUAAUUGCCAUGGGACCCGCAGACCAAUAAUUGAGUUAAAAAGCCCCGUUUUGAUGAUUAUCUCGAAAACCAGUAUCGAUUGGACCCCGCUUUAUUAAUAUAAAGCUACUAAAUAUGUAUUUUCAUGUCAUAAACGAUCCAAAGGGGUACCAAUUAUUUGUAAAUAUAAAUAUAUCUUUCUAGAGCUUAUUUUCACCGUAGAAAUCAUUUCACCAGUUUCUCUGCACGAAUACCGAGAGAAACCGAGCGGUGUUCUUCGUGUUCUUCAUAAUCAAACGUGGAUUUGAAGGCGUUAUUGGAGUCAGAAUCAAGCGUGCGAAUAGUCAAAUCGAAGAUAUCGAAGAGUAGAACCCAGAUCAAUCAUCAAAAACAACAUGAGAUUCACAGGAUUUGGACGAGACGUGUAUGCUCGAAGACGUCAGAAAGUCGGAAUGGUAUUGCAAAGCGAAUAAGGGAUGAAUCGAGUAAGAGAAGUGGUGUGGCGAAUAGGGUAUAGCCAGAGAUGGUUUAGAGACUAUGAUAUGCAUAGAGUAUGAAGGUGGAAAGAUGAGAAUGAGCUGUGAGACGGGAGUCAGAUUUAAGAAAGGCUUAAAGAUGAGAUGAUUGAUUGAGAUUGUGAGUAAGGCCAAUGCUAGGCGAGGAGACAGAGUUGAGGAUCCAGUGGUCGAAGAGUGUUCAGGAAAGUUGAUGAGGCUGGUGCAAGCUGGAAUAGUUGACAGUGAUUCUUCUUAUCGAAGAUGAUCUGAUUUGGUAAGAGAUGUUGUGUAAUAAUAGUGGUAGAUUCUAAUUUCAAUACUGUAACCUGGAUGCGAUCCUGUUGUUUUGGGGGGUUUAAAUGUUCUCUUUUAAAUCUUUUAUUUAACGUCUUUCAAAUCU